ensembl:misc_RNA Y_RNA Y RNA
GGCUGGUCCGAUUGCAGUGGGUUAUCAGAACUUAUUAGCAUUAGUGUCACUAAAGUUGGUAUACCACCUCCCUACUGCUAAAUUUGACUGGCUUAAA